ACGAACGCUGGCGGCGUGCCUCAUACAUGCCAGUCGAACGCUUCUUUCCUCCCGAGUGCUUGCACUCAAUUGGAAAGAGGAGUGGCGGACGGGUGAGUAACACGUGUGUAACCUACCCAUCAGAGGGGGAUAACACUUGGAAACAGGUGCUAAUACCGCAUAACAGUUUAUGCCGCAUGGCAUAAGAGUGAAAGGCGCUUUCGGGUGUCGUUGAUGGAUGGACCCGCGGUGCAUUAGCUAGUUGGUGAGGUAACGGCUCACCAAGGCCACGAUGCAUAGCCGACCUGAGAGGGUGAUCGGCCACACUGGGACUGAGACACGGCCCAGACUCCUACGGGAGGCAGCAGUAGGGAAUCUUCGGCAAUGGACGAAAGUCUGACCGAGCAACGCCGCGUGAGUGAAGAAGGUUUUCGGAUCGUAAAACUCUGUUGUUAGAGAAGAACAAGGACGUUAGUAACUGAACGUCCCCUGACGGUAUCUAACCAGAAAGCCACGGCUAACUACGUG
rnacentral:rRNA from 1 species